GUCCUCACUUCGGCAGCACGUAUACUAAAAUUGGAGCGAUACAGAGAAGAUUAGCUUGGCCUCUGCACAAGGAUGACAUACAAAUUCGUGACACAUUCCAUAUUUUU
rnacentral:snRNA from 1 species